rnacentral:rRNA from 1 species
AGGGUUUGAUCAUGGCUCAGAGCGAACGUUAGCGGGAGGCUUAACACAUGCAAGUCGAGCGAGAACAGUCCUUCGGGGCUUAGUACAGCGGCGGACGGGGGAGGAACGCGUAGGUAAUCUACCCUCGGGCGGGGGACAACACUCCGAAAGGAAUGCUAAUACCGCGUAAGACCACACUCACUAAGGUGAGAGGGGUAAAAGGUGGCCUCUUCUUGAAAGCUACCGCCAAAGGAUGAGUCCGCGUAGCAUCAGCUUGUUGGUAAGGUAACGGCUUACCAAGGCUAAGACGGGUAGCUGGUCUGAGAGGAUGAUCAGCCACACUGGCACUGGAACACGGGCCAGACUCCUACGGGAGGCAGCAGUGAGGAAUAUUGGGCAAUGGGCGCAAGCCUGACCCAGCCACGCCGCGUGAGUGAUGAAGGCCUUCGGGUCGUAAAGCUCUGUGGGGAGGGACGAAAAAUUUCCAUUCGAAUAGGGUGGAGACUUGACGGUACCUCCUUAGCAAGCACCGGCUAACUCUGUGCCAGCAGCCGCGGUAAUACAGAGGGUGCAAACGUUGCUCGGAUUUACUGGGCGUAAAGCGCAUGCAGGUGGUUUGUUAAGUCAGAUGUGAAAGCCCGAGGCUCAACCUCGGAAGGUCAUUUGAAACUGGCAAACUAGAGUACUGUAGAGGGGGGUAGAAUUUCAGGUGUAGCGGUGAAAUGCGUAGAGAUCUGAAGGAACACCAGUGGCGAAGGCGACUUCCUGACCAAUACUGACGCUGAGAUGCGAAGAGCGUGGGGAGCAAACAGGAUUAGAACCCUGGUAGUCCACGCCGUAAACGAUGUCUACUUGGAGGUUGUGGCCUUGAGCCGUGGCUUUCGGAGCUAACGCGUUAAGUAGACCGCCUGGGGAGUACGGUCGCAAGAUUAAAACUCAAAUGAAUUGACGGGGGCCCGCACAAGCGGUGGAGCAUGUGGUUUAAUUCGAGGCAACGCGAAGAACCUUACCUACUCUUGACAUCCAGAGAACUUUCCAGAGAUGGAUUGGUGCCUUCGGGAACUCUGAGACAGGUGCUGCAUGGCUGUCGUCAGCUCGUGUUGUGAAAUGUUGGGUUAAGUCCCGCAACGAGCGCAACCCCUAUCCUUAUUUGCCAGCGCGUUAUGGCGGGAACUCUAAGGAGACUGCCGGUGAUCAACCGGAGGAAGGUGGGGACGACGUCAAGUCAUCCUGGCCCUUAUGGGAUGGGCUACACACGUGCUACAAUGGCAUAUACAGAGUGCUGCAAUACCGCGAGGUGGAGCGAAUCUCACAAAGCUUGUCAUAGCUCGGAUUGGAGUCUGCAGCUCGACUCCAUGAAGACGGAAUCGCUAGUAAUCGUAGAUCAGAAUGCUACGGUGAAUACUUUCCCGGGCCUUGUACACACCGCCCGUCA